rnacentral:rRNA from 1 species
GACGGAGGGUGCUAGCGUUGUUCGGAUUUACUGGGCGUAAAGGGCGCGUAGGCGGCCUUCUCAGUCGGGUGUGAAAGCCCGGGGCUCAACCCCGGAACGGCACCCGAGACGGGCAGGCUGGAGACCGGGAGAGGAGGGUGGAAUAGCCAGUGUAGAGGUGAAAUUCGUAGAUAUUGGCUGGAACACCGGUGGCGAAAGCGGCUCUCUGGCCCGGUUCUGACGCUGAGGCGCGAAAGCGUGGGGAGCAAACAGG